rnacentral:misc_RNA from 1 species
CAAUUCUCUCUCUGUAGCUUAGUUGUGUUCUGAGAUUUAUUGUGUGAUUGAAUCUGUUUUUCGAUUUUGAAAUUUGAAUUCACUGUGUAGCUCGAAGAAGCUUUAAAGCUUUCAAUUAUAUAAACUAUUCUAUGCUUAUAAAAGAAAAUUUCAUGAAAAUUCUUCUGACUGACUGAGAUUUCGAGGUGCUGUUGUUGUUUAGUUUGGG